AACGGCCGUACCAUGCUGAAUAUACCGGUUUUCGUUAGAUCACCGAAGUUAAGCAUCAUUGGGCGCGGUCAGUACUUGGAUGGGUGACCACCUGGGAACACUGCGUGCCGUU
rnacentral:rRNA from 1 species